rnacentral:snoRNA from 2 species
AGGCCAUGAUGGGGACACUUGCGUAAUAGCUCCUUGAACCUUUCCCAUGUUUCAUAUAAGGAUUCCCCGUCCUCUUGUGAGUAU